rnacentral:misc_RNA from 1 species
ACCAAAGCGAAGAGUAGAUAAAGGUUUCUUGUAAAUCUUGGCUUUGCUCCAUAUCGUAUAGCGCGUUUGAACUGCAGAAGGCUUGCUUUUUUAUGUAGAAAAUAGCAAAAGUGAACAGUGCGAAAUAGCACACAACCACUCGUAAUGACGCCAUCACUUCAUCUCUUUUCAUAUGCCUAUCUAAACUGAUGUAAUAACUUUUGGUAGGUGCAAAAAUAUAUAUAAGCUUCCCAAAGUAUUUAUUCAGAGUAUCAUGGUUUGCUUUUGAUAAACUGCCUGAUAAGGUGAAUGGAACAAGACUCAUGAUACAAGUGAAUAAUAUGAUUAGAAACAUCAUAUAUUUGAACUGGAGAGAAAGAUAUGAAGACAUGAUUGAUCAUCGCAGUUGUACACACAACUUAAGCAGUUGUGAAAUUAAAGCAUGAAAAAAUUCAGGUUUAAAUGUGAUUCAAACCCAUGCCCUCUGUGAUACUGGUGAAGUGCUCUACCAACUGAGCCAACUAGCCAACUGGGAGCUGGUCACGUUGUGAGUUCAUAAUACACCUGUAGAUGAUGAUGAAUGCAAGUGAAUAUAUGCUAUGUCAUAUGUUUGAACUGUGAAGAAAGAUAUGAAGACAUGAUUGAUCAUUGUAGUUAUGCAUACAACUUAAGUAGUUGUGAAAUUAAAGCCCGAAAAGAAUUCAGGCUAGAACGGGAUUCGAACCCAUGACCUCUGCAAUACCAGUGUGAUACCGAUAUCUGAUAAAUAUAAAAGAAUCAACCAAAAAUAUUUUUUGGUAAUGCCCAGUUUUAUUGGGAAAACAAAGUUUAGACAGAAUGUGUUAUUAACCAACAGUGCAUUAUAAUUGUGUUCUUUUUCAUGAUUAACAGAUGGGUGCAUAUCAUACAAUAGACCUGGAAUUGAAUAGGAAAUUUACUUUGAUCAAAGAAUAUUGGGAUAUUAUAGCUCUUGAAAGAGUGGACAUGGCUUGUGAUCCAGCACAGCAUGCAGAUCUUGGAGCCAUCUUACUUCAUGAAGGCCUAUGUCACAUCUUUUUAGUCACUUCAAGUAUGACAAUUGUUAGAGCUAAAAUUGAUAUGAAUAUUCCAAGGAAAAGAAAAGGAUUCUGUAGUCAACAUGAUAAGGGGUUGCUUAGGUUUUAUGAUGCCAUAAUCCAGGGCAUUCUCCGGCAUUUUAAUUUUGAGGUCCUCAAGUGCAUUCUUGUUGCUAGUCCUGGUUUUGUAAAGGAUCAAUUUUGUGACUACAUGUUCCAGCAAGCUGUAAAGAAUGACUGGAAGUCGAUCCCAGAGAACAAAUCAAAAUUUCUUUUGGCUCAUUCUUCUUCAGGCCACAAACAUUCCCUGAAAGAAGUUCUUGCCAACCCAGCUGUUACUGCAAAGCUUGCAGACACAAAGGCGGCUGCUGAAGUUAAAGCAUUGGAUAAUUUUUUCACAAUGCUGCAAACAGAGCCUGAGAGAGCUUAUUAUGGUGCAUUGUGUAAUCAUCUAAUAUUACUGUUGUGUUGGAGUCAGUGUUGUUGUACCUUUAGUAUGGCACAUAUCGAGAGGGCAAAUGAAGCAAUGGCUGUUGAAACUCUUCUUGUGACAGAUGAACUUUUCAGGUCAACAGAUUUGCCAACUCGUAAGAGAUAUGUCAAACUUGUUGAAAAUGUCAAAGAUAAUGGUGGUGAUGUCAGGGUGUUUUCAAGCCUGCAUGUUUCUGGGGAACGAAUAUCUAUCUGACCGGUCGUUGUGCACAGAGAAAAGACAUUUGCACAAAACGAAGAAACUGCCAAGAUACCCCUACUUUUUUCACAUUUAAAAUUCUCCUCUGGCCGGUUGCGAUGUACUGUGAAUCUUUUGGAAGAUUUCACUGAAGGAUAUUCAAGAAGAUAACAUUCAGGCCACGAAACCUUGAAGAACUCAUUCGUUUGGAGCUUGGUCAGUUAUCUGGUGUUGCAGCUAUCUUGCGCUUUCCCAUGCCAGAUAUUGCCGAUGGUGAUGAUGAAAGCUCAUCCGAAGAG